GAUGAAGAACGCAGCGAAAUGCGAUAAGUAAUGCGAAUUGCAGAAUUCAGUGAAUCAUCGAAUCUUUGAACGCACAUUGCGCCCGCCAGUAUUCUGGCGGGCAUGCCUGUCUGAGCGUCGUUUCGACCCUCGCGCCCGGCUUCUGUCGGGGGCGGUGUUGGGGAUCGGCCACACCCUUCAGUGGGAGGCCGGCCCCUAAAUUCAGUGGCGACCACGCUGUAGCCUCCCCUGCGUAGUACUAAAACCCCCUCGCAGGCGGAGAGCGGUGCGGCCCGCCGUAAAACCCCCCAACUUUUACAAGGUCGACCUCAGAUCAGGUAGGAAUACCCGCUGAACUUAAGCAUAUCAAUAAGCGGAGGA
rnacentral:misc_RNA from 1 species